rnacentral:rRNA from 1 species
UACAGAGGGUGCGAGCGUUAAUCGGAGUUACUGGGCGUAAAGGGCGCGUAGGCGGUUGUGUGUGAGUGAUGUGAAAGCCCCGGGCUUAACCUGGGAAGUGCAUCGCUGACUACAUAACUUGAGUAGGUGAGAGGGUGGCGGAAUUUCCGGUGUAGCGGUGAAAUGCGUAGAGAUCGGAAGGAACGUCAAUGGCGAAGGCAGCCACCUGGUACCAUACUGACGCUGAUGCGCGAAAGCGUGGGGAGCGAACAGG